rnacentral:lncRNA from 1 species
CUUUUGACAGGUACCUUCCUCCAUAUACUUCAUUUCUACCUAUAAUCAAGAGGGAUGACGACCAGCAACAAAACCCUGAAAUAAUAAGGAAUCAAAAAAGAAAAACGUCAGCAGAAAACCUCGUUUUUUCGCAGCUUUCUUAUAUCGUUAUCUUCAUCAUUCUCAUAUGCAUUACGGAGAGGAAAAGCCUUAAAGAUGAUCCUAUCAACUUCAGCGUCUUAAAUAUCAUAGUCGAAGUCGUAAGGUAACUAACUAACUAACUAAUAUAAUUAACCGAAAUGUUAAUUAUUUAAAUCCUUCUACAAUUGUUUAUAUAUGUGUAAAAAUUAUUAAAUGUUUUAAAAAAAAAUUGGAAUAAUCGCAGCGCCUACGGGAAUGUGGGUUUCACAACCGGGUAUAGCUGCGGGCGUAAGGUUAGCCCGGAUCCGAACUGUGUGGAUAAAUGGUAUGGGUUUUCCGGAAAAUGGAGCGAUGAGGGUAAAGUGAUUCUAAUCAUAGUCAUGUUUUUUGGUAGACUCAAAAAGUUCAAUAUGAAUGGAGGUCAAGCAUGGAAACUAUUGUAGUAACUUAUUUUAAUUGUAAAUUGUAAUUAAUAAAUUAAUUACUUAAUUAUUAUUAUAUAUAGUCAUUAGAGAUUAAUAUUAGUAAUGAACAUAUACUCCUUCAAUUGACCCUAAUGAGUCAAACUAGCUCUCAAAUUAAACUAGCUAAUCAUAGUGCUUUAUUAUUAUUAUUUUUAAAUACUGGGGGACAAACAAUCAGCUCGUGCAAAAGCACAGUGAACUAGGGUUAAAAUUAAUUAAACUCUAAUCUUAGGUUAGCAUUAGCUAUAACGACCAUAUAAUAUCUGUGAUUUGAUAUCAUGAUAUAGACCUCAUGGAAGGAUCAAUUCACAUCAAAGAAUUCGAACUUUGUAAAGAAUUCAUGGAAGGAUAAAAAAAUUAAAAAAAAACACGACUUUUUGAUCCACCCGUAAGAGCUGGCUCAGUUGAUCGAACGAACAAGAAAGAGAGCGAGGAAUCAAAAAGUUUUAAACGACACAAAUUAGAUUUUUUUCGAACUUGUGACACAUAACUUACAAUAUUUUAUUCCCAAUCCCCCCAAUGAAUUUCUUUUUGUAAUCAAUUAUCAUCAUACUAAAUUAAUGAUAUGAUUGUGAUGACAAGACCAUAGGGACCAAAAAAAAAAAUGUUAUUCUGCCAAUAUGAAAAUAGAUGUUGUCAAACUAUUUGACAGAAGUGUAUGUUAAAGCAAACAGAGUGUGUGAUUUGAUAAUCACUUAGACUUGUUUCCGACAAGAAAGUUGGUUAGCAGAUAGGACUCUUCAGUGAGGAAGAAGAACAACUUACUAUUUUUGUAAUUCCAUACGAAGAAGCUUGUCUCUCAAUUUCAGUUUCGGGUUCUUUCUCAUCAUAAUGGAUUCCUCACACUUUCCAAUUUAAAUUCGACUUUUCGCCAAAUCCUAUCGACAAUUAUGUAUAACAUAACGUAUAUAUAUGCACGUAGCCACGUAUAUGUUGAUAUUUUAUCUUGUAUUUCACUGACCGUAGCUACGUAUAUGUUGAUGAGGUCAUCGAUUAUAUAUGUACGAGAAUGUCAUGAUGAAUACGUGACAUGUAUAUAUGCAUCAUGCAUGUAAUAUUUGAAAGAAGAAGAAAAAAAAUCAGAACAAAAUUAAAAAUUUAUAUGAAAUGAGAAUCUCUCUAGAAACUUUACAGAUUUUGAGAACACAAAAGUUUAAGAAAAAUGGAAAUUGGAAUUUUGGAAUCAAAAUGAAAAGAAUCAUAUCGGAAGGCAAUUAAAAAUAAAAUAAAAUGAUAUGGACGGAACGAAAAUUUCAUUCAGCUUGCUACCACCAAUCACACGUUAACAACACCCACAUUGCCACGCAGCCGAUGGUUAAAUUUUGACGGGUAAAAUGUGCGUUGUCUGAUCAAAUAUGGAACAGUAUUUUCAUAUCCAAUUUUGUAGGAGUACCUAGUAACAUCUACAAAGGCAUCAAAUAAAGUUAAUUACAGUGCACUAAUAAUAAUUUAAAAAAAAAAAAACACAAUUUUCAUCGAACUUCGGAAAUGACUAAACCCUAUAUAUACCCCCAUUCUAAUAAUCCAUGCUUCACUGCCAAAAAAAAAAAAGAAACGAAAAAAGAAUCUGCGUGUGUGUAAACAUGAAGAACUAUGCAUGUUCUUUGCAAAGGACAAGGUUUCUCAUCUGUUGUUCUUACCACGAUUUUCUUGCCAAACUCAAACCUUUCUUGUUAUAUACAUUCUAUUUCUCCUCCAUUUCCUUUGUGGGUUUUGGAAUUCUUACGGGUUUGAAGCCCAGAACCUCGUUUAAACCUAGGAACCUCGAUUUGCUCUUCACAUCAGUGUCAUCCGCCACUGUGUCAAGCAUGUCCACAGUCGAAAUGGAGGUCUUCUCCACCUCACAACUAAUCGUUAUAACUAUUCUCAUGUUCAUGGGUGGUGAGGUAUUCACCUCCAUGGUUGAGCUUCUCUUAAAGAGGUCCAAGAUUAUCGGAACAUGUAAUUUCGACGGAAGAAAAAUCGAGUCUAUAGAAAGUGAACCUACCCGUUUUGAGUAUUCCACUAACCCGUUUCUAAAAUACGACUCUAUCAAGUUUUUAGGUCACGUGGUUUUAGGGUAUCUUGUAGUGAUCCACAUUCUUGGCAUCUCCUCUGUUUUACUCUACCUAGGCCUUGUUUCGAGUGCAGAGGAUGUACUAAGAAACAAGGGACUUAAGAAAUUCAUGUUUGCGGUUUUUACAGUUGUGUCAACUUUUGCCAACUGUGGGUUUGUGCCGACAAACGAAAACAUGGUGGUGUUUAUCAAGAAUUCGGGCCUACUAUGGAUUUUAAUCCCACAAAUCCUACUUGGGAACACACUGUUUCCUUCGUGUUUGAGAUUUGUGAUAUGGGUUUUGGGGAAGAAAAUUAAGAAGGCAGAGGCGAAUUAUUUACUGGAGAAUGAUACUACGUCGAAAUCAUCAGUUUAUCUUCACUUGUUUCCUAGUCAGCACUCUGUUCUCCUAGCAGCUACAGUAUUCGGAUUUACAAUACUCGGCUUCGUAAUAUUCUCCUCUCUGGAAUGGAAUUCAGCGGCUUUGUCGGGGCUGAAUACUUACCAGAAAAUUGUGGGAAUCCUUUUUCAGUGUGUGAACGCAAGACACAGCGGUGAAACUAUAGUUGAUCUCUCGAUAAUUUCCCCGGCAGUAACGGUGUUUUUCGUGGUCAUGAUGUUAGUCUCUCUCUCUCUCUCUCUCUCUCUCUCUCUCUCUCUCUCUCUCUCUCUCUCUCUCUCUCUCUCUCUCUCUCUCUCUCUCUCUCUCUCUCUCUCUCUCUCUCUCUCUCUCUCUCAUAUGAUUGCCAUGUAUAUUAUCCUGGUAAUAAUAAUUUUGAUAAAAUUUGACAGGUACCUUCCACCAUAUACUUCAUUUCUACCUAUUACGAAGGAUGAGGAAACCCCACUAGAGUCUGUAAUAAGAAAGAAACGAAGAAAAACAGCUGCAGAAAACCUCGUAUUAUCGCAGCUUUCUUAUCUUGUUAUUUUCAUUAUUAUCAUAUGCCUCACAGAGAGGAAAAGCCUUAAAGAGGAUCCCGUCAACUUCAGCGUCUUGAAUAUCACAGUCGAAGUCAUAAGGUAAUGUUAAAAAAAAAAUAUUAAUUAAGUAAUUACUUUUAUUUAUCAUCACUGAAGCAGUAAUGCCACUUGAAUUCACAACCCAUACUUUCCGAAAAAACACAAGUAAACAACAGAGAAAGACAUGAUAAAAAUUAAAAUUCGUAUCUCAACAGACAGACUAUGCAACAAAGCAUAUGCCAUCUUAAGUGGUAUUCGAUUGCUUAGAUUCUUUAAAACAAAAUUCCUAUUAUCUAUCUGCUUAUUUAAUUUGUUGCUUUACGAAAAAGAUUCGACAGGUGUCUGUUUUGACAUAGAAUAACUCUGCUAAUAUUCCCAGAAACGAAAAAAUGAAAUACCCAUGCGUAAAGAUUCUCCAAAUCACCUUGAACUUUCCUUUGCACUUAUAUAUUCCUGCUACAUACUUUUCGACUUUUGCCUAAACUAACCUUUGAAGAAACAAAACGAACUAUGAAGUACUGAACUAGGAUACACAGUUAAUAAAUCUGUUUUACCGUCUAAAUGAUUUCUAUAUUAAUUACAGAACAACUGCUCAAUGCAUCUUUAAAAGUAUAAAUAUAACAGACUGAUUAAUCGCUUCUAUAUAUAUUUUUAUAAUUGCAGUGCAUACGGAAAUGUUGGCUUCACAACUGGAUACAGUUGCGAGCGUCAGAUAAGGCCGGAUCCAAACUGCGUGAACAAAUGGUAUGGAUUUUCUGGAAAAUGGAGUGACAAGGGUAAAAUAGUCCUAAUCAUAGUCAUGUUCUUCGGUCGUCUCAAAAAGUUCAACAUGAACGGAGGCCAAGCAUGGAAACUCUUGUAACAGGAUGCGAAAAGGCACGCAACUAUAUCAUAAACUAUCAUUAAGCAAAAGAUAUUUCUAAACCGUGUUUCGAAUAAGAAAUUAAACACCCUACUGAAAGUUACGAUAAGUUCUUGAUUCAAUUAGCAGCAGUACUUUCGGAAAUAUAUAUUAUCUUAUGGUACCGAAAAAACAGUCUUACGCAACAUUGUCAAACACCAAGAAUUAGGCAAUUAAGAACAUUGAUAUGAUAUAAAGAUGAAAACGAUUAUUUUCGACAAAGUUAAAUGGGAAUCCUACACAUAAAACAUCAAUCACAAUUUGACUUUUUUUCAUUUUUGAGCCGACAUAAUAAAUAUUCAUCUUCCACGCCAGAUCUAUAAAAAAAUGCACUAUGUAUACAUCAAAGAACAGAACUCGCAUGAUAACCUUAUCAAUUUGCCAAACUAAUGAUUAAGGUUUAUUGUCUGUGUCACUAGUUAUCAUCUCCUAAUCCUCAAUUUCAAAUCAAUUACGUAAGACCCAAUCGACAAAAUCACUCUCCAUGGAUCAAUUUCACAACGCAACAAUCAGCUCCAGAAAAUAAAUCAGUCCAUUAAAAAAAAUAAUUAAUAAAGGCAGAAAACAUUAUUCAAAAAGUCACGCACCUUUGUCUGUGCAGAAUUGCGGCUGAAGAUGCUUUGAUCGAUC